GUCCCUUUCAUUGCUCUGUCCAGCAGCAGACACAUUGCCUUUAUAAUACGUAUUGCUACAUCCUCCGGUACAGACUUCAAGGGCGCCACCUUUUGAUAAGACUUGAGUCUAGGAAAAAAGAAAAUACGCACGCACACACGGCCCACGCAAAGAAUCCAACAGGCAAACUUUCUGGAAUUCCCUCCCAUUAUUAUUAUGAUGAUUAUUUCUAUUAUAGGAGCCGCGCUGUCAUCAUGCCCUGUCAUUGAAGGAAGAGAAAGGCUCGAUUCUGCCUGUUCGCUCGCAAUGUUUUCCUCCCCCCCCGCUAAUAAACAGAACACGCGUGCGUUUCACUCCUUAGUAAAUGAAGUGCCAACACACUACAGAAAAGGUCAGUGUCUCUCCCUCAUCCUCUCCCUCCCCUAUUAUUCAUUUUCCUGCAAAGCCUAACUGAAGCGUCUCUAAGUGUGUAUGAACAGGGAAACUCAAAGAGAAUGAAGUAGUGGGCGCCGCAUGAAAGUGCGGGCAGCUGGCUUCGUCUACCCAACGAUUCGAAUUACGGUCGCUUCAAGGAAGUUGGCAUUUGGCAUCCCCCGUCAAGCGCUUCUUCCCCUGCCACCAGCCUGCGCGCGCGCGCUCCCCGCUCCCUCGCUCACUCCCUGGCGGGCCCUUUGACUCACACUGCUGUUGUAGCCGGACCAGUGCACCAUGGCUUGGUUGUGGGCCGAGUCUCCGGUGAGGGCAAAGGUCGUGCUGGUCAAUUUGAACUCUUCGCUGCCGCCACCUCCUGCGCGCAGCUGCUUAAUGCCCAUCCGCCCUUCCUCUUUGGAGGAGCCUUUGCCUUGAGCCCGGGUCGCCAGCUUCUGGCCAUCCGUCAAGGAGGCGUCCCAGCCGACUCCUUCCAUCCCCAAACUGUCCGGGGCGAAAGGCUGCCGAUCCCUGCUGCUCCUCUUUCCCCUGCUGGGCGCACGAAGGUUGUCGCCCGGCGUCGUGCCAAGAGAGAUGCUUUCCUCGCGGGCGCCUCCGCGAACCCUCCGCUUCUCCUCCCGGCCCGAAAGCAAGGAGCCUCGUCCAGCGCCCCUCGCCUUCCGCGAGAUUUGGCCGGAGGAGUGCCCGGGCUGGGGGCUGCUGCUAGUCGCCCUCCGGGCAGCGGCGCUCGCGGGCGCCCAGCUGCCCAACCCUUCCAUCCCCCCAGCUACCGCCUGCGCCCUUCCCGCAGCAGGAUCCUCUCCGUGCGCUCCCACCACCGCUUCUCCGUCCUCCCCUUCGUCGUCCUCCUCGUCGCCAGCACCCCAUCCUCCUCCACCGGGUCUCUCCUGCAGGAUUCCCCCGUCUUCGUCGUCCUCGCCGCUUGGCCCGAUCGACGCUCCCCGAGGAAUCUCCAGCGGCGACGGCGGCGGCUGCUGCAGCACCUUCACCCGAAGCGAUGCAGAAGGCGACGGCGGAGGAGAAGAGGAAGAAGAAGCGAAGAAGGACCGGCAAGUUAUCUCGGCGCCAGCCAAAGACCAAUUGCCAAGCAACAGCCAUGUCGAGGCGAUCCAGGCGAUGUAGCAGCCGGAGGACCAGGCAGCCCCGCUCUCCAUGCCUUGCAGAGAGAGAGAGAGAGAGAGAGUUGGAUCUUUGGGGGAAAACCUUUAUCAAAGGAGGGAGGGGAAAGGCUGGUUGAAUAUUAUUAUUUUGCAGCCAAACGUCUCCGCUUCCACCUUUUUCUCAGCCUUUCAGAUGACAAGCGGCGUUGCUUUAUAAUGAUUAUUUUUAAUUUCAAAGCUCAAAAACAAAACAAAAAAAAACACCUUCUUUAGUUGGAAUCUGUUCUUUCACUGUUGGUGGAUUUUCUCUCUCGCUCUUUCUUUCUUUUUUCUUUUCUCUUUUUUUCCCCUUUCUUUUUUUUAAAAGUGCUUUUCAGUGAAACUGUUCACGUUCGAGGAUUUGAUCAAGUAAAAGAGGAUAGCACCACCAAGGGGAGGAGCUGCUGCGCCCGAGCCAAACGCAGCGGUUGAAAUAUACCAGCAAUUCACCAACCACGCUGCACUUCCAGUGGAAUCCGGUGGUGUGUGCGCGCGCGCGGCUGGCUGGCUGUCGUCGAGGUCUGUGUUAACAGAAGGAGGGCGAGAAACUCUACUGGCGUGCGUGGGCAUGAAAACAACAACAGCGAAAAGAAGAGCCUAUAGGAGGACCACCGGGGAUUUUCUCUGAGCGCAGUGGCUGUUUGGGAAGCCCGGCAUUGGGGCGCGUGGGACGGUGGGGACAUAAACGGAUGCUGUCGGAGAGAAAGGGUUCGGACUUUUCCAAUACCAAACACGAGAUCGCUGUGCUUUCCCUUGCUUUGACAGUCUCUCAGCAGAGGCCGUUGCAGGCACCCACCAAGGCAUGCUUGAUUUGGGCUGCUCUUCCCCGAUCUUGCCUGAGCUCGGAAGCUAAGGAGGAUCCGGCCUGGUUAGGGCUUAGAGGGGAGACCCGGUGAGAGACGUGAUGCUGUAGGCAGUUUGUUCUGGUUUGUUCUGUGUGGUUUUCAAGAAAACUACAUCCAUGCAGACUCCUGCAGUCGAGCCCAACAGGGUGGCAACUUUCCCUACCUGAAUGUGUAAGAGGUGGGCAAUAAUAAA
ensembl:lncRNA